AUACUUGCAGGACGAGUCUGGCCAGCAAUGACAGCAGCUUGGGAGCAGGACUUGUCAUGUGUCACUUUACAGCUGGGACCCCUGCAGUUAAGAGGAUGUCGCUGAAUAGGCUCUGUGCAGGAAAAGGAAACUCUCCAGGAAGGACUGAGAUUGAUUCAAGGACACGGGUGGCCCGGUGUUGAGGAAAACUGGGAGGAGAAAGAGGUCACAAACAUGGAAAGUGAAAAGAAGGAAACUAAAAUGAUCUCUGUGAUAGCAGAUUGCAGCUGAAGAAAGCUUCUAUUUGAAAAUUGCUAUGCUCUGUAUCAAUGGCAAGUUACCUGUUUUUAUAAGAAAGCUGGGAUAGGGCCUCUCCAGUGGCGCAGCGGUGGAGCGCUGGCUUGCAAAGCUGCCUGCAGCCUCUGUGGAGCCGGUUCGAUCCCCGGCUGCUCCCCGGCCACCAGAGGAGGGUCCCACCUGGCACGCACACCCCUCCUGCCACCCACUGCUCCCCUCAGCAGUGUACUUUGGUCCUUCUGCCUGCUCUGCUCCCCACUCUGGCUCUGGUGAAUUCUCUCACCCUCCCAUGCUUCUGACUGUACCCAGUGC